GAAUUUGUAAGUAUAUUUAUAUAUUUUAUUAUUUUAUUAUUUUAUUUAUAAAUUUAUUCUUUAUGAGUAAUAUUUUCAUAGAUAACAUGGAUUUGAUUGUUGAUAUCCAGGGCUUCAAGGGGCAAAACGGUGAAUUCAUAGUCAAGGAGUUGGCCUACAUUGAUCCCAACGAGCCAGCAGCAGUAGCUCAAUUAGCUACAUUUCAACCACCUCACUCUUGGUACGACUUGUCGAGCGAUGUCCAGUGUGCCAAUCUGUGGCUCAAAUAUUCUUUUCACGGAUUAAAGUGGAGCGACGGUGAACUGCCAUACGACAAGCUAGCCGAAGUUUGUUCCAGCCUCCUCGAUUUAUCGCCGACAAGGAACGUUAUUAUUUGGGUGAAAGGUGCACAGAAAAAGGAGUGGCUGCAGCUAUAUUUCCCGGACGUCUGUAAUAUAGAAGAUCUCGGCUGUCAUCCUUAAAGACACCAGGAUUUCGAACUGCGCUGGUGUGUUCACAUCACCUUCCUGACUGGAAGGAGAAUUGUGCAGUUCAAAACGUUUACGCAAUAAAGAAGUGGCUUCGUGCAGUACGACAAGAUUUUAUCAUCCCACUGCAUUUCUUUGAGGAUUAUUAUUCCUCAUCUGAUUCGGAUACAACAACGACAACAUUGGAAGAAUAAUUUAUCAUAAUGGAGUCGCUGAACGCUGUGGCAAAAGCUCCACCAUUCCUGCCUACGAAAAAAAUGAAGGAUUUGGAGAUCAUCAAGAAGUACAAAAUAUCCAAACAUAAGAAAGUUCAGACAAAAUUUGGCGCGAAGAUGGUGUUGGAGUUAGAUGGAAGUUUCGAUGUUUUCCUACCCACCAAAGUAAAUGCCUUCCUCAUCGAGAAUAACACCGAUGAAGAGAAGUUGAAGAAUGAAAUUGAUACUAGAGAUGUUUAUCUAGUACAUUAUGGACACAACAUUAUUGAAUUCAUUUAAUGAUUUAUCUCCACUGCGUAUAGUAUUAAGGAUUUUUUCUCAAUAAUUAGAGUGUUUAUUUAUGUUAAAUUCUUACUUAGUAAGUUUACUUAGUAAGUAAGUAACUACUUAGUAAGUUUUUUUUCUUCUAAUAUUAAGGAUUUUUAUAUAACAUCUUACAUUGACAGUAUUAUCCAAUUUAUAAAUCACAAUUUAAUUACUAUUAGAUUUAUAUAUUAUUAUGUACUCUAACGGUUCUCUAAUGCUAUUUCUAACGAAUAUUUGAAAAAAAAAUAUAUACAGGGUGACCCAAUUUAAACGGGCACCGCUCAUAACUCGUC